UGGGGAAUUUUGGACAAUGGGGGAAACCCUGAUCCAGCCAUCCCGCGUGUGCGAUGAAGGCCUUCGGGUUGUAAAGCACUUUUGGCAGGAAAGAAACGUCAUGGGUUAAUACCCCGUGAAACUGACGGUACCUGCAGAAUAAGCACCGGCUAACUACGUGCCAGCAGCCGCGGUAAUACGUAGGGUGCAAGCGUUAAUCGGAAUUACUGGGCGUAAAGCGUGCGCAGGCGGUUCGGAAAGAAAGAUGUGAAAUCCCAGAGCUCAACUUAGGAACUGCAUUUUUAACUACCGGGCUAGAGUGUGUCAGAGGGGGGUGGAAUGCCGCGUGUAGCAGUGAAAUGCGUAGAUAUGCGGAGGAACACCGAUGGCGAAGGCAGCCUCCUGGGAUAACACUGACGCUCAUGCACGAAAGCGUGGGGAGCAAACAGG
rnacentral:rRNA from 1 species